AUACGGAGGAUGCAAGCGUUAUCCGGAUUUAUUGGGUUUAAAGGGUGCGUAGGCGGGACUGUAAGUCAGGGGGGAAAUACUGCAGCUUAACUGUAGCAUUGCCUUUGAAACUGCCGUUCUUGAGUACAGUUGAGGUAGGCGGAAUGUGGUGUGUAGCGGUGAAAUGCAUAGAUAUACCACAGAACGCCGAUUGCGAAGGCAGCUUACUAAGCUGUUACUGACGCUGAGGCACGAAAGCGUGGGGAUCAAACAGGAUUAGAUACCCUGGUAGUCCACGCUGUAAACGAUGAUUACUGGUUGUUAGCGAUAUAUAGCUAGUGACUGAGCGAAAGCAUUAAGUAAUCCACCUGGGGAGUACGUCGGCAACGAUGAAACUCAAAUGAAUUGGCGGGG
rnacentral:rRNA from 1 species